rnacentral:rRNA from 1 species
CCUACGGGUGGCUGCAGUGGGGAAUAUUGGACAAUGGGCGAAAGCCUGAUCCAGCCAUGCCGCGUGUGUGAAGAAGGCCUUCGGGUUGUAAAGCACUUUCAGUGGGGAAGAAAGCCUUGGGGCUAAUACCCUCGAGGAAGGACAUCACCCACAGAAGAAGCACCGGCUAACUCCGUGCCAGCAGCCGCGGUAAUACGGAGGGUGCGAGCGUUAAUCGGAAUUACUGGGCGUAAAGCGCGCGUAGGCGGUCUGAUAAGCCGGUGUGAAAGCCCCGGGCUCAACCUGGGAACGGCAUCCGGAACGGUAGGGCUGGGGUGCAGAGGGGGAAGGAAGAUUUCCGGGGGUAGGGGUGAAAGGGGUAGGGUUCGGGAGGAUUACCGGUGGGAAGGGCGGCCUUCGGGACUGGCCCGGAGGCUAGGGUGCGAAAGCGUGGUAGCAAACAGGAUUAGAUACCCGGGUAGUC